CCUGAGAAACCCAAAAGUUCGAAUGGAGAGAUUCAUCGUCAGCGACCCUGGCAAUUUUGCGGUUCGCGAUGCCUGGGACUACGGUCCCGCGGCACGUGUCCGUAUGAUUUAUAUGUGCCGGGUGUCGUCGUCGUGCACUUCUCCCCUAGUAGGACGUCGCGACCCGUUGGGUGUCGGUCUACGACCUGGGUGGGCGACUGUCAUGUGUUACGCUUCACGGCGUCAUGUGGCAGACCCCCGGUCGUCUGACCAGCUGCUCGGCGGUACUCGCACGGUAUCGAGUCGCAAUUUGAACUGCGUCCGGCCCGCCGCAAGCGAGGCCAGUGUUUCCCGGAUGUACGGACUUAGCGCCGUCACCGGGCCUGGCCAGCUGUUGGCUGGCGGUGUCCUAGGACUUGACUCUAUGUAUACCGGUCGGCGACGCUACUGCUUUGGU
rnacentral:rRNA from 1 species